rnacentral:lncRNA from 10 species
AGGUUGGGGGCGAGAAAGACCUGCGCCGGGCCAAGGACAUCAACCAGGAAGUUUAUAAUUUCCUGGCAACUGCAGGUGCCAAAUAUGGCGUGGGCUUCUGGAAGCCUGGAUCUGGAAUCAUUCACCAGAUUAUUCUGGAAAACUAUGCGUACCCUGGUGUUCUUCUGAUUGGCACUGACUCCCACACCCCCAAUGGUGGCGGCCUUGGGGGCAUCUGCAUUGGAGUUGGGGGUGCCGAUGCUGUGGAUGUCAUGGCUGGGAUCCCCUGGGAGCUGAAGUGCCCCAAGGUGAUUGGCGUGAAGCUGACGGGCUCUCUCUCCGGUUGGUCCUCACCCAAAGAUGUGAUCCUGAAGGUGGCAGGCAUCCUCACGGUGAAAGGUGGCACAGGUGCAAUCGUGGAAUACCACGGGCCUGGUGUAGACUCCAUCUCCUGCACUGGUGAGGAAGGCGGCCAGGCGACGUGGCCCCUACCCUGUGCUGGGCCUGAUGGGUCUCCAGUUGGGAGUAGAAGCGGUGAAUGGCCUUCACUUGAGAAUCUGUCUGUUCCAUUUGGGGACUUGGGAUAGACAGAGGUAGAAGGAAAAUUGGAGACAGCAUUAGAGAUUGUCUAGUCCACAUCCUCAUUAAACAGAUGAAGAGAUUGA